GCCCUGGUGGCACAGUGGUUAAGUAUUUGGCCGCUAACUGAAAGGCUGGUGGUUUGAAUCCACCCAGCGGCU
rnacentral:tRNA from 1 species